CCGCGACGGGUGAGUAACGCGUAUGUAACUUGCCUAUCAGGGGGGGACGUACCGGCAAGUCGGACUAAUACCGCAUGAAGCAGGGAUCCCGCAUGGGAAUAUUUGCCAAAGAUUCAUCGCUGAUAGAUAGGCAUGCGUUCCAUUAGGCAGUUGGCGGGGUAACGGCCCACCAAACCGACGAUGGAUAGGGGUUCUGAGAGGAAGGUCCCCCACAUUGGUACUGAGACACGGACCAA
rnacentral:rRNA from 1 species